rnacentral:rRNA from 1 species
GACGAACGCUGGCGGCGUGCUUAACACAUGCAAGUCGAACGGAAAGGCCCUGCUUUUGUGGGGUGCUCGAGUGGCGAACGGGUGAGUAACACGUGAGUAACCUGCCCUUGACUUUGGGAUAACUUCAGGAAACUGGGGCUAAUACCGGAUAGGAGCUCCUGCUGCAUGGUGGGGGUUGGAAAGUUUCGGCGGUUGGGGAUGGACUCGCGGCUUAUCAGCUUGUUGGUGGGGUAGUGGCUUACCAAGGCUUUGACGGGUAGCCGGCCUGAGAGGGUGACCGGCCACAUUGGGACUGGGAUGCGGCCCAGACUCCUACGGGAGGCAGGAGUGGGGAAUAUUGCACAAUGGGCGGAAGCCUGAUGCAGCAACGCCGCGUGCGGAAUGACGGCCUUCGGGUUGUAAACCGCUUUCGCCUGUGACGAAGCGUGAGUGACGGUAAUGGGUAAAGAAGCACCGGCUAACUACGU